UGGGGAAUUUUGGACAAUGGACGCAAGUCUGAUCCAGCCAUGCCGCGUGCGGGAAGAAGGCCUUCGGGUUGUAAACCGCUUUUGUCAGGGAAGAAACGAGUUUCUCUAAUACAGAGACUUAAUGACGGUACCUAAAGAAUAAGCACCGGCUAACUACGUGCCAGCAGCCGCGGUAAUACGUAGGGUGCAAGCGUUAAUCGGAAUUACUGGGCGUAAAGCGUGCGCAGGCGGUUAUGCAAGACAGAUGUGAAAUCCCCGGGCUCAACCUGGGAACUGCAUUUGUGACUGCAUAGCUGGAGUGCGGCAGAGGGGGAUGGAAUUCCGCGUGUAGCAGUGAAAUGCGUAGAUAUGCGGAGGAACGCCGAUGGCGAAGGCAAUCCCCUGGGCCUGUACUGACGCUCAUGCACGAAAGCGUGGGGAGCAGACA
rnacentral:rRNA from 1 species